rnacentral:lncRNA from 1 species
CCAGCGUCCACGUGUGGCUGUUGUGUCAUUUUUUUCAUUUGCUGGACCAUUGGGACUUCAGCUGCAGGUGGCAGGAGGCUCCAUCCCCAAGUGUCUCCACGGAUAAGGACAGGCACCAUCCAGCCCACAACCCCUCCGCACCCCUAAUCAGUGUGACAUGAUGAGACACAAUCACAGCUUCAAAUCACAUCCUUGCUGAACUCACAGAGGACAAUUUAGGCAGGAACCACACACUGCUAUGACAUAUCCACCCCACCGUGCUUUCUCGAGGAGUGAUGUCCCAUACCCCCUGCUGAGCAGCCCUGUACAGUGGCCACUUUCCCUGGUAGUAGGUGACACAUCUACAAGGUGGCCCCAGCAGCCUUCAGCCCUAGAGUCUGACUGCCCUGGUCCAAGCCAUCCCUGCCUUGCUGGCCUCCUGGGGCCCAUGCACCCUGUUGACAUUCCCCUCUCCACUGCCCUCCACUCAAAGCACCAAAGAAGACUUACUCAAUGUGUCCUUAUGGUGCAGAGUCCCAGCAAGCAGAGGUCUUUGUAUCUGUUGAAUAAAAAAAUUCCUCAUGAUGCGUAGUAACAUCAGUGAGGAAGACUGCACCAAGGCG